rnacentral:rRNA from 1 species
GACGAACGCUGGCGGCGUGCUUAACACAUGCAAGUCGAACGGUGAGGCCCUGCUUUUGUGGGGGGCUCGAGUGGAGAACGGGUGUGUAACACGUGAGUAACCUGCCCUUGACUUGGGGAUAACUUGAGGAAACUGGGGAUAAUACGGGAUAGGAGCUCAUCCCGUGUGGGGGGGUGGGGAAAGUUUUGGCGGUUGGGGAGGGACUCGCGGCCUAACAGGGUGUUGGGGGGGUAGUGGCUUACCAAGGCGGUGACGGGUAGGCGGCCUGAGGGGGGGACCGGGCCACAUGGGGCUGGGGCACGGGCCCAGACCCUUCCGGGGGCAGGAGGGGGGAAAAUUGCCCAAAGGGCGGAAGGCUGAUGCCGCCAAGCCGGGGGGGGGAUGACCGCCUUCCGGGUGUAAACCUGUUUUCGCAGGGAAGGAGCCAAAGUGACGGUAAAUGGAGAAGGAGCACCGGCUAACUACGGU